UACGUAGGGGGCAAGCGUUGUCCGGAAUCAUUGGGCGUAAAGAGCGUGUAGGCGGUCCGGUCAGUCGGUUGUGAAAGUCAAGGGCUCAACCCUUGAAUGCCGGCCGAUACUGCCGGGCUAGAGUCCGGAAGAGGUGAGUGGAAUUCCUGGUGUAGCGGUGAAAUGCGCAGAUAUCAGGAGGAACACCGAUGGCGAAGGCAGGUCUCUGGGCCAUAACUGACGCUGAGAAGCGAAAGCAUGGGGAGCGAACAGG
rnacentral:rRNA from 1 species